UACGUAGGGUGCAAGCGUUGUCCGGAAUUAUUGGGCGUAAAGAGCGUGUAGGCGGCCCGACAAGUCCGCUGUGAAAGUCCAGGGCUCAACCCUGGAAUGCCGGUGGAUACUGUCGGGCUAGAGUCCGGAAGGGGCGAGUGGAAUUCCUGGUGUAGCGGUGAAAUGCGCAGAUAUCAGGAGGAACACCGAUGGCGAAGGCAGGUCUCUGGGCAUUAACUGACGCUGAGGAGCGAAAGCAUGGGGAGCGAACAGG
rnacentral:rRNA from 1 species